rnacentral:rRNA from 1 species
UACAGAGGUCUCAAGCGUUGUUCGGAUUCAUUGGGCGUAAAGGGUGCGUAGGCGGCGCGGUGAGUCGGGUGUGAAAUCUCGGGGCUUAACUCCGAAACUGCAUUCGAUACUGCCGUGCUUGAGGACUGGAGAGGAGACUGGAAUUUACGGUGUAGCGGUGAAAUGCGUAGAUAUCGUAAGGAAGACCAGUGGCGAAGGCGGGUCUCUGGACAGUUCCUGACGCUGAAGCACGAAGGCCAGGGGAGCAAACGGG